UCAACUAAUCCAACCCUCUACAAUGAGUAGGGGCAUCUUCAGGUAGAUGUUUUAUACUCUCCAGCUUGGAGGCUUAGUCUAUACCUUUUUUGAAAGAAAGCCUUGAGGAAAUCCAAGCACCUGAGGAAUCUACAUAAGAAGAUACCUCAUCCUUCUGGAAACUUGUUAAAAUGGACUAAGAGAAAGGCCUUUUUUACUGAUGUAGUGCAGCCCAGUGCCGGUACUUUCCAAGUUUUUUGGAAAAUGAAGGAAGCUUUGCCAGAGAUGCUUGACUUAAGAACCCAUUAAAAUGAAAAUGUACUCAGGAACCUUGCAGGAAUAGUGCUUGAAGACAUGGGUGCCAAGCAUGCUUGGCAGCCUGGAAAGCUUACAGAGCUCUCUGAACAGGA